CAUGGGCAACAUAAUGAGAACUCAUCUCUUAAAAAAACAAAGCGGGGGGAGCAAAAGAUCAAAAUAGACAUUUCUCAAGACAUACAAAUGGCCAACAGCUAUAAGAAAAAAUGCUCAACAUCACCAAUCAUCAGAGAAAUGCAAAUCAAAGCCACAACAAGAUAUCACCUCAUCCCACUUAAAAUUUCCUAUCAAGACGACAGGAAUUAACAGAUGCUGGCAAGGAUGCAGAGAAAGAGGAACUCUUGUACACAGUUGGUGGGAAUGUAAAUUAGUACAGCCACUAUGGAAAAUUGUAUAGUUUCCUCCAAAAACUAAAAAUAGAACUACAAUAUGAUCCAGCAAAUUCCACUACUGGGUAUGUAUCCAAAAGAAAGGAAAUCAAUAUAUCAAAGAGAUAUAUGCACUCUCAUGUUUAUUGCAGCACUAUUCACAAUAGCUAAAAUAUGGAAUCAACCUAAGUGUCCAUCAAUGGAUGAAUGGGUAAAGAAAAUGUGGUAUAUAUACACAAUGGAAUAUUGUUCAGCCAUAAAAGGAAUGAAAUUCUGUCAUUCUCAGCAACAUGGAUGAAACUGGAGGUGAUUGUGUUAACUGAACUAAGCCAAGCACAGAAAAGACAAAUAUUACAUGUUCUCACUCACAUGUGGGAGCUAAAAAAGUGGAUCUCAUGGAGAUGGAGGUAGAUUGGUGGUUACCAGAGGCCAGGAAAGGUGGUGGGGACGUGAGGAUGAAGAGUUUGAUUAGUGGACACAAAUACAGAAGAAAUAAGACCUAUGAUAGAUCAGUAGAGUAACUAUAGCUAAUGUUAAUCUAUUGUACAUUUCAAAAUAGGUAAAAGAGAAUAAUUCAAAUAAUGUUCCUAGCAUAAAGACAAGAUAAAUAUUAAGGUGAAGGACAUCCCAAUAACUCUUGAUUUAAUAUUUACACAUUAUAUACAUGUAUUAAAUUAUCACUUGUACUCUGAAAAUACAUACAUCUAUUACACAUCAAUAAAAAAACUCAUCCAUUAAAUUCUGUAUUAUCUUUGCAACUUUCCCGUAAAUCUAAAUCUAUUUUCAAAAAGUUUAUGAAAACUCAUCCAUGGGAAUUUAAGGUGGCUGAAGAUAGCUGAACACAGUGUAACAGGAAAUAAAAACUUUUUAAAAAUAGAUCAACAUGGCUGGGUGCGGUGGCUCACACCUGUAAUCCCAGCACUUUGGGAGGCCGAGGUGGGUGGAUCAUUUGGGGUCAGGAGUUCGAGACCAGCCUGGCCAACAUGGUGAAACCCCGUCUCUACUAAAAAUACAAAAAUUAGCCUGGCAUGGUGGUGGGCACCUGUAAAUCUCAACUACUCGGGAGGCUGAGGCAGGAGAAUCGCUUGAACCCAGGAAACAGAGGUUGCAGUGAGCUAAGAUCGCACCACUGCACUCCAGCCCAGGCGACAGAGCAAGACUUCAUCUCAAAAAAAAAAAAAAAAUAGAUCAAUACAUGCACGGAAAAGGAAAAGGGUUGGAAGAAGGGGUAAGACUGAUUCUAUGUUAAGAUAGUAGAGUUACAGUUUAAUUCUUUUGUUUUUUAUUUAAGAAAAAUGUUUAAAUAGGGGCCUUAUUCGAUUAGGUCCCUAAGAUCCCCC
rnacentral:lncRNA from 1 species